CCUACGGGUGGCAGCAGUGGGGAAUAUUGCGCAAUGGGCGAAAGCCUGACGCAGCGACGCCGCGUGAGGGAUGAAGGUCUUCGGAUCGUAAACCUCUGUCAGCAGGGAAGAACGGUCACUGUGCUAAUCAGCAGUGAAUUGACGGUACCUGCAAAGGCAGCACCGGCUAACUCCGUGCCAGCAGCCGCGGUAAUACGGAGGGUGCGAGCGUUAAUCGGAUUUACUGGGCGUAAAGCGCUCGUAGGCGGUAUGUCAAGUCAAGGGUGAAAUCCCCGCGCUCAACGUGGGAACUGCCUUUGAAACUGGCAAACUGGAGUGUGUGAGAGGAGAGUGGAAUUCCAGGUGUAGGAGUGAAAGCCGUAGAUAUCUGGAGGAACAUCAGUGGCGAAGGCGACUAUCUGGCACAUAACUGACGCUGAGGAGCGAAAGCGUGGGUAGCAAACAGGAUUAGAUACCCUUGUAGUC
rnacentral:rRNA from 1 species